rnacentral:rRNA from 1 species
UACAGAGGUCCCAAGCGUUACUGAGAUUCACUGGGUUUAAAGGGUGCGUAGGUGGCGCGUUAAGUCAGUUGUGAAAUCCCCGGGCUCAACCCGGGAAUAGCUUCUGAUACUGGCGUGCUUGAGGCCGGUAGAGGUUACUGGAACGGACGGUAGAGCGGUGAAAUGCGUAGAUAUCGUCUGGAACGCCAGUGGUGAAGACGGGUAACUAGACCGGAUCUGACACUAAGGCACGAAAGCGUGGGAGCGAACGGGAUUAGAUACCCCGGUAGUCCACGCCCUAAACAAUGCAGACUAGAUUGCAGCGGGUCUGACCCCGGUUGCGGUCGGAGAAAAAUUGUUAAGUCUGCCACCUGGGAAGUACGGUCGCAAGGCUAAAACUCA